rnacentral:lncRNA from 1 species
AACUCGGCAAGACAUCGCGUCUCGUGCCUACGUAUCUCAUCUGAACGUGAGAAUCAGAGUUGCCGUAGUUCGGCCGGCUGGGAAAAAGGACUCGAUUGCAACUAGGGCAAGAGAAAGGGAAAGUCUCGAUCGCAACGAGGGCGAGAGAAAGGAUCGCAACGAGGGCGAAAGCAAGCAAGGAUUAGCUGUUAGUUGUUAGUCAAAACUCGG